AUGUCACUUACCCACAAUUAUUUGAGAGGGAGCUUCCGAUAAAUAUUUUCGGUUUGAGAGAGAAGUUUACUGUGUUUCGACCAGAGAGAGAUCUCAAAGUUUUGUUUUAGGGUGGGAGUGCUCACAUCCCCUAUUUAAAUUCUUAUAACGUAUUAUUAUAUUAUUUUCUUACGCUCUACCUCAUACCUGAGGUGUCGCGUUAAAAGCAAAC
rnacentral:lncRNA from 1 species